AUUGAACGCUGGCGGCAUGCCUUACACAUGCAGGUCGAACGGUAACAGGUUAAGCUGACGAGUGGCGAACGGGUGAGUAAUGUAUCGGAACGUGCCCAGUCGUGGGGGAUAACUGCUCGAAAGAGCAGCUAAUACCGCAUACGACCUGAGGGUGAAAGCGGGGGAUCGCAAGACCUCGCGCGCUGGGAGCGGCCGAUAUCAGGUUAGGUAGUUGGUGAGGUAAAGGCUCACCAAGCCGACGAUCUGUAGCUGGUCUGAGAGGACGACCAGCCACACUGGGACUGAGACACGGCCCAGACUCCUACGGGAGGCAGCAGUGGGGAAUUUUGGACAAUGGGCGCAAGCCUGAUCCAGCCAUGCCGCGUGCGGGAAGAAGGCCUUCGGGUUGUAAACCGCUUUUGUCAGGGAAGAAAAGGUUCUGGCUAAUACCUGGGACUCAUGACGGUACCUGAAGAAUAAGCACCGGCUAACUACGUGCCAGCCGCCGCGGUAA
rnacentral:rRNA from 1 species